rnacentral:rRNA from 1 species
UUCCUACGGGAGGCAGCAGUGGGGAAUAUUGCACAAUGGGCGAAAGCCUGAUGCAGCGACGCCGCGUGAGGGAUGACGGCCUUCGGGUUGUAAACCUCUUUCAGUAGGGAAGAAGCGAAAGUGACGGUACCUGCAGAAGAAGCACCGGCUAACUACGUGCCAGCAGCCGCGGUAAUACGUAGGGUGCGAGCGUUAUCCGGAAUUAUUGGGCGUAAAGAGCUCGUAGGCGGUUUGUCGCGUCUGUCGUGAAAGUCCGGGGCUUAACCCCGGAUCUGCGGUGGGUACGGGCAGACUAGAGUGCAGUAGGGGAGACUGGAAUUCCUGGUGUAGCGGUGGAAUGCGCAGAUAUCAGGAGGAACACCGAUGGCGAAGGCAGGUCUCUGGGCUGUAACUGACGCUGAGGAGCGAAAGCAUGGGGAGCGAACAGGAUUAGACACCCUGGUAGUCCAUGCCGUAAACGUUGGGCACUAGGUGUGGGGACCAUUCCACGGUUUCCGCGCCGCAGCUAACGCAUUAAGCGCCCCGCCUGGGGAGUACGGCCGCAAGGCUAAAACUCAAAUGAAUUGACGGA